rnacentral:rRNA from 1 species
CACGCCGUAAACGAUGAAUGCCAGUCGUCGGUGCGCAUGCGUAUCGGUGACACACCUAACGGAUUAAGCAUUCCGCCUGGGGAGUACGGUCGCAAGAUUAAAACUCAAAGGAAUUGACGGGGGCCCGCACAAGCGGUGGAUUAUGUGGUUUAAUUCGAAGCAACGCGAAGAACCUUACCAGGGCUUGACAUCCUACUAACGAAGUAGAGAUACAUCAGGUGCCCUUCGGGGAAAGUAGAGACAGGUGG